UGUUGUCUUCUAUGCUUGCUGUGUUUUUCCGCUGUCAUUCUGGUAAUGUUCUGGUUCUCUGUUGCCUGGUUAUGUUUUCUAGUUUGAGCUUCAUGUUUUGAGUUUCAAACCACCUCUGUUGCCACCCAAUAUGACCCAAUUCCUGCAUGCAUGCCAAAGAGACGAGCUGCCUAAUUGGACUGUUUUGUAGAUGAGCGGUGAUGCAGAUGAACAUCAAGAAACCCUUGACAGGUAAACAGUGACAGUGCAUCUUUGUUACAAUUUUUUGAGCUAGUUCUCAUCAUAAUAGUGGCCAGAUUAAAAAAAAAAAAAAAAAAAGUAUGGAAAAACAAACAAAGAAAAAGACUUGAGAACUGAGAUUUGAGAACUUAAAGCUUACGAGUGGUACAAACAGGACUUUAUGACUUUAGGGUGAAAAUUGAUGCAUUUGCACAGAAGGAAACCCAAACGCAGCAAGAACAUGAUUUGUAAAUAAAUUCAUAUGAAUAAUUCAUGAAUUAAGUUUGUGUGUAUUGCACUCAUGUUGCUGUCGGGUUUGUCACUGUGGCUGCAUAUUAGAAAUACAUUGUUCUGUUCGAGCACUUGGGUGUGAAUAAUAAAAUUUCCGAAUAUUGUUCAACAUUUCGUGUGGAAAAAUAUGACUCUCCAGCUCCAGUAUGGUGUUUUUCUAGUUGUAAACACACCUAUAAAUAACUUCCUUGCCUUUGUAGCAACCUAGAACCACAUAAUACCCUGUGUUAAGAUUCAGCUGUGUCAUAUUUGUGAGUUCUUUGACGUCUACAUCAUCAGUGUGAUUCUUUUUUUUUCUUUUUUUUUUAAAUGAACUGCAAAAAAUGAAAACACAUAUGUACAAAUUUAUAAUUUUUGUCAUAAGAUUCAUUAAAUAGAAUUUCAAAAAUAUUUAAUUUGCUGGCAAUUAUUUCAUUGGUUCAGGCUUUACAGGGUUAAAUACUCAACUACUCUUCAAAAUGUCACAAAUGACAAAAUCAUACUAUUUGACUUAAAUAUAUACAGCUGUAAUCACACAGAACAGUGUUGCUGAGUGAUUUCAGUGCUUAGUUUAAAGCAACAUUUUCCUUGACGAUUUACUUCUUG
ensembl:lncRNA